rnacentral:rRNA from 1 species
UACGUAGGGGGCUAGCGUUGUCCGGAAUCAUUGGGCGUAAAGCGCGUGUAGGCGGCCAGGUAGGUCCGGUGUGAAAACUCGAGGCUCAACCUUGAGAGGUCAUCGGAAACCAUCUGGCUAGAGUCCGGAAGAGGAGAGUGGAAUUCCCGGUGUAGCGGUGAAAUGCGCAGAUAUCGGGAAGAACACCUAUGGCGAAGGCAGCUCUCUGGGACGGUACUGACGCUGAGACGCGAAAGCGUGGGGAGCGAACAGG